rnacentral:rRNA from 1 species
UACGGGAGGCAGCAGUGGGGAAUAUUGCACAAUGGGCGCAAGCCUGAUGCAGCCAUGCCGCGUGUAUGAAGAAGGCCUUCGGGUUGUAAAGUACUUUCAGUCGUGAGGAAGGUGUUAAGGUUAAUAACCUUAGCAAUUGACGUUAGCGACAGAAGAAGCACCGGCUAACUCCGUGCCAGCAGCCGCGGUAAUACGGAGGGUGCGAGCGUUAAUCGGAAUUACUGGGCGUAAAGGGCACGCAGGCGGUUAAUUAAGUUGGAUGUGAAAUCCCCGGGCUUAACCUGGGAAUGGCAUUCAAGACUGGUUAGCUAGAGUCUUGUAGAGGGGGUAGAAUUCCAUGUGUAGCGGUGAAAUGCGUAGAGAUGUGGAGGAAUACCGGUGGCGAAGGCGGCCCCUGGACAAAAACUGACGCUCAUGUGCGAAAGCGUGGGGAGCAAAC